CUUUUUGCUGACUAGGAAGCCAAAUCAGGCAGUUUUGUAGCCACAUAUAUCCUGCUCAAUGGAUAAAUCUAUGAGAGACACGUGGACAAAAGGCAGCCUCCGGCCCUUCUGCUGACGCUUCAAUUUCAAUUUGUGAAAAAACAGACAGAGCUAACAAUGUAAGAGUUCACCCUAUUGGAAAACCAGUAUGGCUUCCCUGCUCUGUCCAACUUCGGCAACAGUCCAGCAGAAUCCUAAGAUUCUUUGCUUCUCUCCUCUGAAGUCCAUUUCCCAAGUUAAUCUUUUUUCUUUCACAAACCGACUCAAAAGUAACCCAGGAAGGUGCAAUGCAUUCUUUGGCAGCAUCUCAGAUGAUUUGUUGGGGCAGUCCUUGUCUCAAUUCCCUGUCAUUAAAUCCGGGUUUGUUCGGUUUGAAACGGUUACUGGGGAAUUAACAGACUUGCAGAAGUGGGGUUUCAUUGUUUUGGCAGGGCUUACAUGGAUUUACUUGACUGCAAGGCCAGGUGUUCUUAUAGGUGCCAUUGAUGCAUACCUUCUUGCUCCUCUGCAACUAGGGUUGGACUACUUGACUGGUAGGAGGAGCCUGAAGAGGACUGAUUUUUUGGUUGGGGAUAAGCUGGGAGAAGGGUCUUUUGGUAUUGUUUAUUCUGGUGUGAUUGUUCCAAAGAAUGUUUCUGUUGAAGAAAGAGUGCCAAAAAGAGGAGGAAGAACAGCGCUGGACAUGGAUGGUAGGUUUAAGGAGAAGGUCAUUCUCAAAAAGAUUAAAGUUGGUGUCCAAGGGGCUGAAGAAUGUGGAGAUUUUGAGGAAUGGUUUAACUACAGGCUUUCAAGAGCAGCUCCAGAGACAUGUGCUGAGUUCCUUGGAAGUUUUGUUGCUGAUAAAACAAGUUCACAAUUCAUAAAGGGUGGGAAGUGGCUUGUUUGGAAAUUUGAGGGAGACCGCACUCUUGCUGAUUACAUGAAAGAUCGAAGAUUCCCUUUAAACUUAGAGUCUGUCAUGUUUGGACGUGUACUGCAAGGAGUAGAAUCUGUUAAACGAAAUGCAUUAAUCAUCAAGCAAAUAAUGCGCCAGAUCAUUACUUCACUUAAGAAGAUUCACGACACAGGUAUUGUUCACCGUGAUGUAAAGCCAGCCAACCUAGUGGUGACAAAACGCGGAAAGAUUAAACUCAUUGAUUUUGGGGCAGCAACAGACCUUCGCAUUGGCAAGAACUUUGUACCCAACCUUGGGCUGCUUGAUCCUGACUACUGCCCGCCUGAGCUAUAUGUUCUACCAGAGGAAACACCAAGUCCUCCUCCAGAGCCAAUUGCUGCUUUUCUUUCUCCAAUUUUGUGGCAGCUGAACAGUCCUGAUCUAUUUGAUAUGUAUUCUGCUGGCAUUGUACUCUUGCAAAUGGCAAUACCUUCCCUGAGGUCAACAGCAUACUUAAAGAACUUUAAUUUGGAACUGAAAGCAGUCCAAUAUGACUUGAACAAAUGGAGGGAGAGAACCCGGUUAAGGCCUGACUUAACAAUUUUGGAUCUUGACUCUGGUAGAGGUUGGGACCUAGCCACAAAGCUCAUUUCAGAGAGAGGAUACCUAAGAAGGGGGCGUUUAUCUGCUGCUGCUGCCCUCAGGCAUCCUUAUUUUUUGUUAGGUGGUGACCAGGCAGCUGCCGUUCUUUCAAAAUUCAGCUUUAACUAGGUAAUCUGCUGCUGGCGGGAAUAAAUGUGUUGCCACCAUGCAAACCAGUGAGAAGAAUAAUGUCAUAAAACUUCUUCGUCCAACUCUUCCUGUGAGCAAUCGAGCGAAGUGCAAAAAUCAGAGACAUUGCCUUUCAAGCUUAAGAAGACAGCUUCCACGAUAAUGGUAUGCUCAACCAGGACUUACCGUAGUGAUUGGGGAAUAGCAACAUGAUAAAUUGGGCAUAAAGUAGUAAUAGUUUUGGGAAAUGAUUAUCAACGGAGAGCCUCAUAAUCUAUUUGAGUGAAAACUUAUGCUUGAAAGUGAAUUACAUUUCUUGUUAUUUGCAACUAAAUUUCCUAAAGGGCUACCACUUAAGAAUACUGACAGCAAAAGAACUUUGCAAUUAACAAUCUAACUGGAAUGAGGAAGAGGACCGGAAUCAAAAAGACUUGGGUUUCUGCUCUACUUGCUCUGAAUCCAACAAAAUUACCACGAAUGCAUGGCAUUAUCUGGGGAAAGAAAGAAUCAUUGAUCUACGACUCUGAAGGCCAAAAGAAUUACCUGUGUGUAAAACUUACAGAUCCGACCUUUGAAGUAUGGAAUUUGCAUUGAUUAAUCUGACAGGUAGAGUGAUAAGGAUAAACAGGGAGAAGAUGCAGAGUACAUAAUAGGGAUGUUGUAAUUUAACAGCAGAUCAUCAUGGUAGAGGAAUGUCUCCAGAGCAUUUUUCUUCUUGCAACCCCAACGGCAUUUCCAAGAACACAUGGAGUUGAAGAUUGCUAGUCUUGUCGAAUGAAGGGAUAUUAUGUUCGAUGUAGAAGGAGACUUUGC